AAAGAGAUGGCAGAAACAGUGCAUCUGGCUUGAAACCAGAAAGAUGGAAGUUAAAAUCUUCCUCUCUUUU
rnacentral:tRNA from 1 species